UUACCCUACGGGAGGCAGCAGUCGGGAAUAUUGCGCAAUGGAGGAAACUCUGACGCAGUGACGCCGCGUGCAGGAAGAAGGUUUUCGGAUUGUAAACUGCUUUAGAUAGGGAAGAAAAAAAUGACAGUACCUAUAGAAUAAGCUCCGGCUAACUACGUGCCAGCAGCCGCGGUAAUACGUAGGGAGCAAGCGUUAUCCGGAUUUAUUGGGUGUAAAGGGUGCGUAGAUGGAUAAACAAGUUGUUUGUGAAAUACCUCGGCUCAACUGAGGAACUGCAAGCAAAACUGUAUAUCUCGAGUACUGGG
rnacentral:rRNA from 1 species